rnacentral:rRNA from 1 species
UACGUAGGGACCAAGCGUUGUUCGGAUUUACUGGGCGUAAAGGGCGCGUAGGCGGCUUAACAAGUCACUUGUGAAAUCUCUGGGCUUAACCCAGAACGGCCAAGCGAAACUGUUAUGCUAGAGUGCAGAAGGGGCAAUCGGAAUUCUUGGUGUAGCGGUGAAAUGCGUAGAUAUCAAGAGGAACACCUGAGGUGAAGACGGGUUGCUGGGCUGACACUGACGCUGAGGCGCGAAAGCCAGGGGAGCAAACGGG